rnacentral:misc_RNA from 1 species
AAGUCGUAACAAGGUUUCCGUAGGUGAACCUGCGGAAGGAUCAUUAUCACGUAUCCACGUAUAAACCAUUGUGAACUGUGUCAACCUUUGGAGGGAACUGUGUGGAAUGUAUUGUUUCUUAAAGUGAUUUAAGCAAUCUUUCACAUGCUCUACUGUUCUCUCUGAAGUGUAUUUUCUUAAAUCACUUUACAUUAACCCUUUAAACCUAUUCUUUUAAAACUCUGAACUAAUUCAUUUCUUACUCUUCGGAGAAGAAAUAUUUUACGAAACUAAAGAACAACUCUUAGCAACGGAUAUCUUGGUUCUC